AGUGAACGCUGGCGGUAGGCCUAACACAUGCAAGUCGAACGGCAGCACAGUAAGAGCUUGCUCUUACGGGUGGCGAGUGGCGGACGGGUGAGGAAUACAUCGGAAUCUACUUUUUCGUGGGGGAUAACGUAGGGAAACAUACGCUAAUACCGCAUACGACCUACGGGUGAAAGCAGGGGAUCUUCGGACCUUGCGCGAUUGAAUGAGCCGAUGUCGGAUUAGCUAGUUGGCGGGGUAAAGGCCCACCAAGGCGACGAUCCGUAGCUGGUCUGAGAGGAUGAUCAGCCACACUGGAACUGAGACACGGUCCAGACUCCUACGGGAGGCAGCAGUGGGGAAUAUUGGACAAUGGGCGCAAGCCUGAUCCAGCCAUACCGCGUGGGUGAAGAAGGCCUUCGGGUUGUAAAGCCCUUUUGUUGGGAAAGAAAAGCAGUAGGUUAAUACCCCGCUGUUCUGACGGUACCCAAAGAAUAAGCACCGGCUAACUUCGUG
rnacentral:rRNA from 1 species